rnacentral:lncRNA from 1 species
AUCGAGAAAAGGCCGGUGCACCUCAAUUGCUUGAGGAAUUGACCGGACGACCUCCAGGAAGUUAGAGUCGUGUUCGGGUGACCUCAAUGUCCCCCGGGUCACCACCAUGCUUCAUGGUGAUGCUAGAUCUCGAAUGUCUUCGUUUUGAGCGGAAGAAUGGAUGUCCAUGAGAUUUUCUCAAAAUUUGGACCAUUAUAUCUCUUCCAGGUUGACCAAUUUGGUCAAACCAAAGCCUAUAUGAGUCGGUGUCCCAAAUAUCAUGUAUGGCGACAACAUGGGAUUCGAUAUUCGAAUCGUAGUGACAUACAGUUCACUAGAUUGACUCAUGAAUUUCUCCAAGAUGCGCUUCAGUUCGCAUUCAUGAGGAGGUAUACACAAAAGAAUUCUUGUUCAUUCUCACAAUGUGUUUUCAAAUGAAAACCAUUAGCAGGAAUGUCUUUAAAACUUAACAUGGUUCCUUAUAAUGUUGUGGAUAGUUCCAUUAUCUGCGAAGCACUCAAUGUCUCUAUGAGACAUAACUACAAGGAGUAGAUAGGCGAGUAAAUAGCUCUACUUGAACCAUUUAGAAGGAUUGAAAGAAGCUACGAAAAGCUGCAAUCCCGAGAGUGCAUAAAAAUUUCCGCGCAGAAUGACCUUUGCGCACUAAAACAGUCAUAACUUCUUCGUUAAAAUAGAUAUGGACAAACCAUGAAAAGUUCUGAAAACUAGACUCGUAGAGCUUUCCAAUGAUAUAAAGAUCACUGUCUGGUUCGUCCGGAACUGUUCAAAAAGCUCAAACGAAGUUGACUGUCCAGAAGGGACAGAUUGCUGUUUUUCGCAGAUUUGGCAUGUGCGAAGCUGUGAAGCUUGCAGGUGGCGUGUAGGCUUUUUCCUUAGCCAAAAGUGACGUAUGUAUGAUCAAAACCAAGUCCUUUCGGUCGUUCUAAGGUCGUAAACUCCAUGACUAGUUAGCAAAAGCUCCCUGACAUGAACAUAAACUAACUCAGAGGACCUAGAGGAUCCGAUCAUGAUGAUAAUUUUCCAGCUUUGAUAAGUCUUCAACGUCUUUUGCAAGACGGCAAUUGGUUUAAUAGCGUAGGGGGAUCCAAAAUCAAAAGCUUUCGGUAACUCCAAGUCAGUAUGACCAGGCAUGUCCGUGGAGGGUCGGUAGUGCGAGGCACACUUAAAACCACUAUCUCCUUAAUUUCGGACAAUUCUAAGACAUCACACUGAGCUUGAAUGAGCCUAGUUGAACAAUUGAUGAUGAAAAAUCCGCUAUAGGGUAGAAGACUUAACCGGAAACACGUGGGCGAUCCUCCUUGAGGAUGCAGUGCCAAGAGUCACCUUCAAAAGAAGGGACCAAAAUCGGCACAAUAUGCCAUGUUUNNN